CCUACGGGAGGCAGCAGUAGGGAAUCUUUCACAAUGGGCGAAAGCCUGAUGGAGCAACGCCGCGUGCAGGAUGAAGGCCUUCGGGAUGUAAACUGCUUUUAUAAGGGAGAAAAAUGAUGGUAACUGAUGAAUAAGGAGCGGCUAACGACGUGCCAGCAGCCGCGGACAUACGUAUGAGCCGAGCAUUAUCCGGGGUGACAGGGUGUUAAGAGUUGCGUAGGUGGACUAAUCAGUUGCUAGUGAAAUCUGGUGGCUCAACCAUUCAGACUAUUAGCUAAACUGUUAAGAUCGAGUCCAUUAGAGGUAACUGGAAUUUCUAGUGUAGGCGUGAAAUCCUUAGAUAUUAG
rnacentral:rRNA from 1 species